GAUGAACGCUAGCGGCAGGCCUAAUACAUGCAAGUCGAGGGGCAGCAGGAAUAGCAAUAUUUGCUGGCGACCGGCGCACGGGUGCGUAACACGUAUACAAUCUGCCUUUAACAGGGGGAUAGCCCGGAGAAAUCCGGAUUAAUACCCCAUAACACAGAAGAUGGCAUCAUUUUUUGUUGAAAGCUCCGGCGGUUAAAGAUGAGUAUGCGUCUGAUUAGCUAGUAGGUGAGGUAACGGCUCACCUAGGCGACGAUCAGUAGGGGAUCUGAGAGGAUUAACCCCCACACGGAUACUGAGACACGGAUCCGACUCCUACGGGAGGCAGCAGUAAGGAAUAUUGGACAAUGCCCGCAAGGGUGAUCCAGCCAUGCCGCGUGCAGGAAGACGGCCCUAUGGGUUGUAAACUGCUUUUACACCGGAGAAAACCCCCCUACGUGUAGGGGGCUGAUAGUAUGGUGAGAAUAAGCAUCGGCUAACUUCGUG
rnacentral:rRNA from 1 species